UUGGCAGUUUUUGUUCUUUAAUUAUGGAGCUGUUUACUUCCCGAUCAUUACACCACCGCUCACUUUUAUCUUGCAUUAUCGAUCCACCUUCUUCCUUUCAUAUUUGCUACUCCAAGUUCCAUCCAAACACAGUUCCCUUCGUAUCCUUCAAGCCGAUAUUUCUUAAGCGCUUCUAGUCAGAGAUAUAGGGAAACGACAGUAACCAAAAUCUCCGCCCUACAUCUAUGCAAGUGACAAACGAGCAACACCAGAGGAGAGUAAUAGCGAACCCCAAAAUUCGAAAUCGGAAUCCAAAAAGGAACAGAAACCCAACAAAAUUCAGCGUCUGUUCUUCAGAUUUUCCUAAAAUUUCCCCACAAAUCAGGUAUGUAAUUAUUAAGGAUUUGUAAUUACAUCAAAAACCCAUACAUGCCUACUAUCGGCUGGUAUUGACCAUAAUAUACAUUGCUCUUUUUUAACCCUCAUUUGUGUCUGGGCGUUUCCCUCAGAUUCUUCUACAUGUUUGUGUUUUAUGUACUUUUAGUAUCUCUUCUUCAUUGUUUUCGUCUUUUACGUUGGAAGAUAAAGGAGGAUAUCAUAAACAUUGGCAUCGCUUGUGAUGGAAUUGAAAAAAUUAUGAAUUGCACACCCACUGUUUGUUAAUAUGUCUCAGUGAACUUUAGUUAGUUGAUUCCAAAAUUGGUUCUUUCCAUUUUAACGACUCACUUUCAAUUUGGAGAAAUCAAUUGAAGUUCCCACUUUAAGUCCUAAGUUUCAAGAUUUUGGCACAAUCAAUCAUCAUACUUUCAAUUUAUUCCAUUCAAUUUAUUUGUAUGUGUUUGUUGUACCCCAAGUAAAAGCAAUUCAUCACCAGAAUUGGACUUCUAUUAUGUACAUAUUGUUGAAUGUUUGAUCAUAUAUGGUUAUUUUUUGUUUGGUAUGACACCUACAAUAAGGCUUUUUUCUAAUUUCUUUAGUUUUAACUUAUCUAUUACCAUAAUGUAGUUGAAGUUAAACAACCUGGAGAAGAUAUAAAUGAACUUACUAAUUGAACCAAAAAAUACCUAAAAACCUCUAUGGGAAAAAAGAGUGUUGUGCGUAUGAAACUGUUGUAUUAUGGUAGAACUUUUGUAGUCAUAAGUAGAAGAACACUACACAUACUUCAACUAUAAAACAUGACAGUUUCGGGAUAAAAAAACUGGUACAUGUAAAUAUAAGAGUUUUUUAGGUGAUGUUGCUACUAUAUCCAAGGUUUCUUUUUGACCAAAUUAGCCAAUUAAUCACUAAUAUUUGCUUCCUUUUUUGGAGGUUGUAUGUUCUUUGUUAAGGAAGAAAGAAGAAGAUUUGUGAUUGUUGAACAACUCUUGCAUUGAUGAAAUUCCACUUUCCAGACGCAUUCUAAUAUUGUUUUGUUAGUUUUAAGCUAUUGGUGUAAAUAUAACAAAGUAAUUAAAAUUUUAUAAAAGCACUUAAGGGGAAAAGAGUAUAUCAUAACCUAACUUCAUUUCAAAUUAAUUUUCAGUAUUUGAAACCCAUUUUUUAGUGUUAAUUUUUAAAAAAUAGCAAUGUCAUUUAUUUGUUUGUUAUUGCAUCAUAUCUUUAUUUAUUCAAACUAUACAUACCAACUUUCCCUUCUUUUGGUAGGGAUGAGUUGCUUUCUUUUUUUAUAUUUGUAUAUAUUAUAUAAUAGUUAACUAUAACAAUGGUCAUUUAUGUCUCAAUUUACUGUCACCACUGGGACCAUUGGACCAUUUUCUGUAACGGUUUGGUAAAACAAAGAACACAUGAACCAUUUUUAUUGAUGCAUGACACAAUCAAAGAAAAAUAGAUCCCUCAAAGAAAAAUAGAUCCCUUCCCAACCCAUGCAAAGCAUGUGUACCUUCUCUAGUUUGUAUUAAAGAAUCAUUAUUGUUUAGAGUUGGUAAAAAAAAUUAGAUAUUUGUAAAUAUAAUAUGCGAAAUUACAUACUUUUUCAUAGUAAACAGCUAAAAUAAUUAAAAUCAAUGUCGAUAAUUUUUUUUUUUGGUAGAUGAUCGUGAUUUUUAGUAUAUGCCCAGUUACAAAGAUUAUGACAAUUUUGGUAAUUUCAUAUGGUUAUUUUAUAAUAAAUAAUGAAAAUUUGUUUAUUAUAAUUAUCUUAUCUACUCUAGUUAUCUAUUCUAGUAAAUAAAUGUUUUUUUUGCCACUUGUUAUACUAUCAUUCAAUUUGUUAAAUGUUAUUUUAUGAUUAUUUUGAAUUAACUUUUAUUUCAAAUGUUAUUUUAUGACUUUUUUAUUUUAUUAAUUUCACAUAGUAUUUAAAUGCAAUAAAAAAUACAUAUUAAUUUCCUUAAUAAACUUUCAUUUUAAUUUCAAAAUUACUAAAUUAAUAUUUUAUUAAUUUAAUUUAUUUAUUUAUCUAAAUUAUUUGUUUAAAUUUAUUGAAUAAAACACUUUAAUUUUUAUAAUUUAAUAUUUUUUCUCAUUUUUCUUAUAAAUUCAAUUUCUCAAAUGUUUAAAAUUUUAUAUUUUUUUUUAAAUAAACUCAUAUAAUAUAUGGAUGACAUAACUAAUUUUCUUAACAAAUUACAAAUUAUUGCACAUGGAGAACAAUUAUACUAAUUAACAUGUUAGGUUACAUUAUACAUAUCGAGUAUUGAAGGCUUUAGUACCUUUCCAUGUCUUAUAAUUUCCUUGGACUUUCACAACUUUGUUUUGCGGAUGACAGCUACUAAUUUCUUUUUGUCUUUUCAUUGUACAAUAUUAACAACAACACCAAGGAAACAAUAAUUACUUUUUGUAUGACAACUAUUACCAUCUUAAAAUUUCCGGAUGUACGAACAGAACAAAAAAUGACUUAGCUUCUCCAACACAUAAUCUCCAUGCAUGUAUCCAAAAUGGUUGUCCUUUCCAAAUUUAUCAGUUUAUUUAAUUGAUUAUAUAAUUGUCCCUCGGUUAAAUAUCAAAAAUUACAUUUAGUUUUUAUUUUUAAAAUUAAUUCGGACUGUCUUUACGUUUUCAUUUCUUUACACGCUUAGUCUCUAUCGCCUUUAUCCGUUAAUUGUUUCCGUUUAAGUGCCCCAAAAACAAGGUUAGUCCAUCGUUUUUUUUAAAUUUAUCAUUUUAGUCUCCCGUUUCUUUUUAAAAGACUAUAUUGCCAUUUUUAUUUUUUAUUUAUUUAUUUAUAAUUUAUCAAUUAAAUUAAAUUAAUUAUAAAUUUUAAAAAAUUAUAUCAUUUUCAUCUCUCUCUCUCUCUCUCUCUCUCUCUCUCUCUCUCUCCAUUCCAUGUCAUCUUUCUCAAUUCGCGCAACUAUCUCAUGUCAUACUCGACAACCAUCUCCUUUUACCGUCGGCCGGAUGAUAUGACUGGUUGAAGAAAACAUUUCUUAAAAGAUUUCGUUUAUGGGAAAAACGAUUCACUUAUUUUUAUCCAAAAAAAGAACCUUUCAAAGGAAGGUUGUUUGAAAAAGGACUGAAAAUGUCAGGUGCGAUAAAAUGAAUUUUUGAAAGAAUGAUUUAAUUAAAAUCCAUUUAAGAACACACAAUGUUAUUAGGAAAUCUUCAGAAAAGUCCCAAUAUUUAUAGAAAAGUUAUAUUUUAGUCCUAAGAUUUUUUUUUGAACGAAAAAAUCCUGAAAACCGGCAAAAAUUUGCAGUUUGACCAUUUUUGACCGGUUGAAACCGGUACCAAAUUAAUUUGGGACUAUUUCGUAAACCAAUAAAAAAUAUUGGGACUUUUCUGUAAACAAAAAAUGUUGANAAAUAUAAAUAAGAAUACUAUUUUUUGAACUUGUUAUUAUUAAUAUUGUUACUAAUACAUAUAAAUGCAUUUAAUGAAAAACUAAUAUUAAUGACAUUGUUUAAGGGUGGAUGUGGAGGAGAUGGUGAUGCUUUUAGUAUUGAAAUCGUGAAUGUCUACUUGUAUAUUUUUACUUUGUAUAUGGUCAUUUCAUAUUUGUUAUUAUUGUUUUCAAUUCAGAAUAUUAAUACUUAACAAUUUGAAAGAAGUUGCAUAUUAAUAGUUUAAGGUAGUAGAGUUUCUCACUUUGUAUAUAAAAUUGUUUAAGGUUGAAGAAUUAUUUUUCAAAUCCAACAAAUCCACUACAAAUAUCUGUAUAGGUAACCCAUAUCAAAAUUCAAAAGUAUUAAUUAUAAUAUUUUGUUUAAUAAAAAGUAUUAAUCAAAAUUCAAAAGUAUUAAUCAAAAUUCAAAAGUACUAAUCCAAAAAACAUGUCCUAUAACUUUUUAUUAAACAAGAUAUUGUAAUUAAUAUUUUUGAAUUUUGAUAUGGGCUACCUAUGUAGAUGUUUGUAGUGGAUCUGUUGGAUUUGCAAAAUAAUCCUUCUACUUUAAUCAUUUUUAUAUACAAAGUGAUAAAUCUUCUAGCUUAAACUAUUUAUAAAUAAUUUUACAAAUACGCAACUUUCUUUUAAAUUGUUAAGUAUUAUUAUUCUGAAUUGAAAACAAUAACAACAAAUGUGAAAUGACCAUAUACAAAGUAAAAAUAUACAAACAAACGUUCAUGAUUUCAAUGUUAAAAACAUCAACAUCUCCUCCACCUCCACCCUUAAACAAUGUCAUUAAUAUUAUUUUUUUCAUUUAAAUACAUUUAUAUGUAUUACUAACAAUAUUAAUAAUAACAAGUUCAAAAAAAAGUAUUCUUAUAUAUAUUUUUAAUAAUAAUAAUAAUAAUAAUAAUAAUAAUAAUAAUAAUAAUAAUAAUAAUAAGAGUUUUGUUUGUAGAAAAGUCCUAAUAUUUUUGUUUACAGAAAAGUCCUAAUAUUUUUUGUUUACAGAAAAGUCCAAAUAUUUCGGAUUAGUUUACGAAAUAGUCCUAAAUUAAUUUGGUACCGGUUUCAACCGGUCAAAAAGGGUCAAACUGCAAUUUUUUGCCGGUUUUCGGGACUUUUUCGUUCAAAAAAAAAAUCUUGGGACUAAAGUGUAACUUUUCCGUAAAUAUUGGGACUUUUCUGAAGAUUUCCCCAAUGUUAUUCACAACAUUUAAGAAGUUAUGACUGCAGGAUCAUUUAUUGCAACAGCGGUUUGGCUCAGGUGACUACGGUAGUAAGGAUUAUGAAUGUUAUAGCUGAAAUAACACUUGAUCAAGAAGAUUAGAAAUAAAAAAAUAAAAGACCCAAAGAAUAUAUUGAUCAUAUGUGAUUGCGGUAUAUUAGGAAGCAAAUAUGAGAAAUAUAUCAUUCUAGAACCAUAGUGAAGAGAGUGCUUUAAGAGUUUGUUUGUCUGUGUGUUUUUUUUUUUUGAAAAGAAAAGAAGCAACUCCUUCACUCUUGAGAUCAAAUGUGGUCUGCGGUAGCUAUCAAUUCAAGAAGAAUUGCGGGUCUGGAUUCAUCAUUCCUAACAUUUCUAGAAAACUAUUUAAUUUCGUAGCAUCAAGUGCUUUAGUGAAAACAUUAGCUAUUUCUUCGUGAGUGGGCAUAAAAUUGAGUUCAACGUUACCUUUGAGGAUGUCAUCUUUGAUUAAGUGGUACCGUUGUUCGAUGUGCUUCGUCAUAGAGUGGUGAAUAGGAUUAUGAGAAAUUGCUAUAACACUCUCUGAAUCACAGUAAAUCGGCAUCCGCAGCAUUCUGUAACCGUAGUCCAUGAUUUGAUUCUUCAUCCAAAGAACUUGAGAACAAUAGCUGGCAGCGGCCACAUAUUCUACAUCUGCGGUAGACAGCGAAACACAAUUAUGCUUCCUUGAAGACCAACUGACUAGUCUUCCUCUUAAGAGUUGGCAUCCACCCGAAGUACUUUACGAUCUAAUCUUUAUCCUGCAUGAUCCUCAUCUAUGAAUACUUGAAGGCUGAAGUCAUUUCCUGCAGAGUACUAGAGGCCUAAUGCUUUACUUCCCUUUAGAUAUCUGAAGAUUUUAUUGACUGCGGUCAAAUGGGAUACGUUAGGUUCAGUUUGGUACCGAGCACAUAAUCCGGUUGCAAAUACAAUAUCUCGUCGACUUUCAGUGAGGUACAUCAAUGACCCAAUCAUUCCUCGAUAGGUUUUGUGGUCAACUGACUCUCCAGUAGGGUCAAUAAAAUCUUGUGUCCAAAGGCCAUCGGGACCUUGGCUGAGGAGCAAUUUUUCAUUGAAAAUUUCUUUAAUAACUCAGAGGUAUACUUUUCUUGAUGAAUGGAUAUCCCUUGAGGGACUUGUUUCACUUGAAGUCCUAGAAAGAAGUUGAUCUCUCUAUUCAUGCUCAUUUAAAAUUUACUUGUCAUGAGCUUUGCAAAAUCAUUCACCAUACCCUAAUCUGUUGAUCCGAAUAUGAUGUCAUCCACAUAUAUUUGAACGAGUAUCGAGUGAUUACCAUUUUCCCUUCGAAAUAACGUGGGAUCAAUCACACCUCUUUUGUAUCCAAACAUGACUAGAAACUUUGAAAGAGUCUCAUACGAUGCCCUCGGUGCUUACUUCAGACUGUGUACUGCUUUCUCUAGCUUGUAGCAAUGGUUUGUAAUUUCUAUACUCUCAAAGCCUAAAGGUUGUUGCAGGUAAACUUCUUCCUUCAUUUCUCCAUUGAGAAAGGCACUUUUUACAUUCAUUUGAUGUGCUUUGAUGUUCUUAUGUUCCACAUACGCUAAAAAAAUGUGUAUUGCUUCCAUUCUGGCUGUGGGGGCAUAUGUUUCAUCGUAGUCAACGUCUUCAAGUUCAUUGUACCCCUUAGCAACAAGCCGAGCUUUGUUUCUCACCACCGCACCAGACUCAUCUAACUUGUUUUUAUAUACCCAUCUUGUUCCGACUAUUGUGUGACUUUUUGACUUAGGUACCAGUUUCCACACUUUAUUCAUCUUAUACUCAAAUAACUCCUCUUGCAUUACGACGAUUCAGUCGGGCUCCAUGAGAGCUUCUUUUAUGGUUCGAGGCUCAAUUGAGGACAUGAAAGCUGCAUAGCGGAAGUGGUCAGUUAAAUCACUAGAGGACUGAGUUUGAAUACAUGCGGAUGGGUUUCCGAUGAUUUGACUCGAUGGAUGAUCCUUCGUCCAAAUGUGAAGAUGAGGUUGUUGGUGAUAUGCGGCUGCGGUUGAGGGAAUAUCUUCAAUGUCAUAGGACUCUGCGGUUGGGGAAGGUAGUUCUCCCUCGUCUUGGGAGCAGCCCGUAGAAGCAUCUUGGACUGUAGGAGUUUGAACUGUAGUUGUUGAAGGAGGUUUCCCCUAAAUUAAGGAUGGGAGUUCCCCUUGAACCGAAGAUGGUUCCCUUUGAACCAAUGACAUCAGUUCUCCCUGGAUUGAUGAAUGAGUGAUAACCCUUGGAUCUGAUCUUGUGUCGAUAUUUUUAAUUUCUUCAUCUUCAGAAUCCUAAGAGACAUUUGAUUGGAUAUUGACUUUGCGGGUAGAAACCGGAGAUGUAUUUUCUGGUACUGGAAACUCGAUGGUUGUCACUGCUACCGGAGUUGAACUUUCCCCCUAAAUCGGCGAGGUGGAAGUAUUCAGUGACAAAUGUUCCGACAAGGUUGGACCAAAUACCUUAGCAUGUUGUUGGGCUACCAGAGACACCAGGAUUUCAGAGAGAUGAGCUGUCUCUGUGGGAUCAAAUAAAUCAUCAUAGUUUAUUUCAACUAUAUUCAACAGACUCGAAGAGGAUGGGAUAUCACUUUCAGGGAUAAAUAUUGUUUCAGUUGAUGGAGCAGUUUAGCGGACAUAAUAGUCAUAAAAUUUGACAUUGAAGCUUUCGACUAUCAAUAUUGUACGUCUAAUGAGAACCAUGUAGGCCACUUUGUUGGUAGGGUAGCGAAGAAAAAUACCUUCAUCUGAUUUGGGUGCAAAUUUGUUAAAGUGAUCCUUGUUGUUGAUAACAAAACAUCUGCAUCCAAAAAUGUGUAAGAAUCUGACAUUUUUUACGGAGUUUUGUUAAGACGUUUGCAAAUGAUUCUUUGGUUUUGAACAAAGAAUGAAGUUGCCUCUGCUUCUGCCCUGAAGUAAAGAGGAAGGUUGGCAAAGUUCAACAUUGAUCUAGGUGCUUUGACCAAUAUGCGAUUUCUUCGCUCUACUACUCUAUUUUGUUGCGAUGUGUUGGGAGCUGAGAAGUUGUGACUGAUACCUUUGGAAACCAAGAAACUAUUGAAGAGUUGAUUAGUGACUUCGGUUCCAUUGUCACUCCUUAUCCUUCUAACUGGUAGUUUGAUUUGGAGCUCUAUUUAUUUUAUGAAGUUGAUCAUGAUCUGUGGUGUGUCAAAUUUGAGUCUCAAGAAGAAUACCCAAGUGAAGCGAGUAUAGUCAUCAACUAUGAACAUGAUGUAUUUCUUGUGAUGGAGACUAGCUAUGGUAGAUAGACCAUAGAGAUGAAUAUGAAGUAGGUAUAAAGGUUCAACAAUCGACGAAUCAACAAUCAGAGGAUGACUUCCCUUGGUUUGUUUUCCAUACUCACAAGCUGGGCACAACAUAUCGUUACUGUACUUCAAAAUUGGGAGAUCACGGACGAGUUCUUCGGUGACCAGGUUAUUGAUGUAUUUGAAUUUGAGAUGAGCUAGCUUGCGGUGCCAUAAGCAACUGACUUUGGAUACUACUUUUGAUAGAAAGCACAACUGCGGUUUCCCACUGAUCAAUGAGACAUCCAAAGGAUACAUUGUCCCUUCGGCCUUAGAUUUUAUCAAGCAGAUGUUUCUAUAGUGUGUCAUUAUGUAACAAUAUUCACUAUCAAAUUUAACCCGAUGACUGACUUUGCAUAGGUGGCCCACACUGAUCAAGUUAUGCUUGAGGCUUUCCACAUAAGCAACUCUUUGAAUGGAGAAAUUUCCCAUGGUUAGUACACCAUAACCCCUAAUGAUUCCAUUUAUAUUAUUUCCAAAUGUGACGGGUCCACCAUUAUAGAUUGGCCUGAAGUCGCGAAGGUAUUCUAACCUUCCAGUCAUGUGCAAGGAGCAUGCACUAUUAAUUAACCACUCCUCUUCUUGUUCUUCCUUGCACAUUGCCUGAAAAAUUAAUGGGUUAGUUUGGGCACCCAAACAAGUUUGGAGCCCAGGGAAACAUGUGAAAGCUUUUUACUGGAUGCAUGCACGUGGUUCUUAGGAAUAGAUUUCGUGUCGGUUUUUAAACCAAGUCCUGGGUGUUUCACAACUUCUGGAAUGUUACGAGGUUGGAUUGGAUGAGACGUUUUUAGCAGAUAAAAUCCAAAGGAAAGAUUUUUCUCAUUUAUCCAGACACCGUGCUUGGUCAACAGUCUAGAGGGUGUGGUUGGAGUCUAGCGACUGGUCCGUGGGUGGGAUUUUGCUACAGUGCCCUUGGGAUUUGAAAAAGUUUUGGCAUGUGAGCUACUCUUAGGUUGUCACCUUUUGAUAGAUUGAUGUGUUUUUGAAGGUUUCGGAGUUGUUAAAAUACAUUUCCAUUUUGGAUUGUCUAAGGAAUAUUUUUGAAAAGACGUGACUUUCUUUUGGAAUUUUGCAGGAGUUUUUGAAAAGGUUUUUGUACUGUAUAUUCCUCUUUUUUUGAUCCUUUGAGUGCCGUAUUUUUUGAAAGCUUUUUGGCAGUAGUGGGUUUUUCGAAGUUUUUUGAUUUGAAACCUCAGUUUGUUUGAAAGUUUUGUUUUUGAAAUCAGUAUCGCGCAUUUUACAUCGGGGCCUGAGUUCUUCUUUGAAAGCCAAUUUUGCUUGAGUCUUUGGAGAACCGCAAUCAGAAAUAUUUAACUACGGUUUUUUGAAAACCUUUGAAUGAGUUGAAAAACGAGGACUUGAGCCAUCCGAACUAGAGAGUUCAGGACUCUGAGAACAUUGGUUAAAUUCAAAAUUUUCAGUUAGUAAUUCAUGAAGAAUGGGUUGAAUGGUCACUAAGCUUUUGACUACGGUAUGCGGUACAGAUGAUUGGACUACCGCAAAAUAUGUCAAGGAUGGUUUUUUGUUUGGACAUUUUAUGGAAGGAAAGGGUGGAUAUUUAACAACUAACUCCGUUCCUUCCAUAACAAUUUAUUAAUCUACAUCUGAAGAUGACUGAGAAUCAGGACAAGUUGUCUCAAUGAUGGGUAAUUGAUCAGAGGAUUUAACAAUAAUUUCCUCAAUAACACAAUUGUUAAUCGGUUCAUGAAGUCUACCGAAAUGACAUCUUAUGUCUUAGUGGAAGGUUUUGUCAUUCACUGGAUAAUGAAACUCACGAUCCCGAGGGACGUAUGGACGUUCAGCAUUGACUCGAGGAGUAGAUUUCUCCGUAGUAGAGUACCCAUUGGACCAUCCCAAGUUGUAGGUGUUAUCUACGCUCCCAUUAUUAACUAAUAAUUCGGUUUCAUUAAAAAUCUUUUCUAUUAAUUAAUUCAAACGUACAAUUUCUUUUUGGGCAAGAUCCCUUUGAUUUAAAGCAAUAUCUAACUGAGUUUCAUUCAACAUUCUAACAUCCUUUUCUAACAACAAAUCCUUUUCCAGCAUGGCAACCUUAAGUCUCUUAUCCUCAAGUCUUCCUCUCAUGUGAUAUAGAUCUUGGGUCGCUAUAUUCUUUUCAUCUAAUUCUUUGUUGUAGUAUGAAAGGACGACACCACAUGUGUCAUUAAGUCUUUCUAAAUAUGGUUCACAAACAUGAAUGUUGAAAUUAUUAGAAUGGAUCAUGAUUUUUACCUGCUCGACGAUGCUGAGGGUGCCAUCUUUGGCCAUAUAACAGUAGUUCCUUUUCAAAUUCGUCGAUCUAUUCUCUUCAGCAACUUCAACCAUGCAGAUCUUUCCUUUCCUCUUGUUGUUGUCGAACUCUUCAUCUUCAUCUUCGGAUGACCACACUUGACGAUCCAUCUUCACUUGUGCAACAUAUGCUCUUGCAUUUUCUUUUUCCUCCAUUUUUAGGGCCAUUCUAAGAUCGAAUGCCUUGUCCUUAAUCAGAUUUUCCUUGCGGUCUUUGGAAAAGUGAUUCUCUUUAUUACAUUUGUGGCAGAUGAUGACAUCAUUAUUCUCUUCAGUUGAGGUACCGUAGUCAGAUGGUUUGUUGGACUACAGUCACUCUUUGGUGUGAUGUGCAUUUUAUGGUUGAGAUGGAUGGUGAGGGUUUCAGGGAUAUCUUGAGUGGUUGUUUUGUGGAUUGAAGUUGAGGUUAAAAGGUAGUUUUGUAAACUAUUGAUUUUUACGAAAUGAUGGUGGUGGUAGCCUGCUGAAUUUUUGGUUAACCAAGGCGAUGGCAUUUUGAAAUUCUUCUUCAUCAUCUAAUUCAGGAUCAGCUUCAUAUGACUGUAGUGGGUUGUCAUUUGGAAGUUGAUAAGAUGACUCCGUGGGGUAUGAAUACUGUGGAAUUUUGACGUGUAGGGUUUAAGAAAUCAGGGCAAGUGGUCCACCGAGGUCAGCACAAUCUUUUAGCACAGUUGAUUCUUCUGCCUGAAGUUCUCCAUAUAAUUUGAACAAGGACAAAGUAUGAAUUUUCCUAUCUCCUUGCACAAUCAUAUUUGUAGUAGACCAGUGCCUCCCCAAACCGUUGAGAAACUGUAGGUUUGUUUCAAGAUUGCUUCGAACAGUACCCGCAUUUGAUAACUUUGUGAUGAUGAGAUUGAACCGUUUAAACGAUUUUUCAAUACUUUCACCAGGAAGAGAUUUAUAGUUGUUAAAAUCUUUCAGUGUUGUGGUGAGUUUCUUGUCUUGAUCUUGUUCUGACCCUCUAUAGAGAUUCUUUCGUACAUCCCAGUUCUCCUUUGCCAAUUUGCAGUUGAUGAUAAUAUAAAAGUUGUCUGAAGCCACACCACUAGAAAUUUCAUAGAAGGCUAUGGAAUUAUUAUCCAUUUUGUCUAGAUCAUCUUUUGUUGGCCGAUUCAUUGUUGCUUGACCUCUAACUAGUCUGGCCUGAGUACCAUCUGGUUGAACAGGAGUGAGAACAGGGACAUGGGGUCCUUCAACAGAUUUCAAAAUAUCUCUUCUGAGCCUCUUGAGAUACCUUUCCAUUAUUUGUGACCAAUGGUGGUACUCACUCACAACAAGUAUUGGCGCUCUAUUAGAGCCUCCAACACUGUUGGAAACAUUCAAUGAUAAAGCUUGUGCCAUAUUUCCUUUGUAUUUUUUUAUUUAUUUUCAAGAAUGAGCUUUAGUGGUAUAGAAGGCUUUUCAAAAUCAGAGUUUUGUUUAAAAAGCAACCACUUUGGCUCUGUUAUAAAUUUUUGAGAGAAAAACUUUUGAGAAACACUUGAACAAACGUUAGUACAAGAUAAUAGUUGCAUAAUAAGUUAAUCUCAAAGGAUCAUGUUAGCUCAACAAUAAUAAGUUAGAAUUGUUAGAUAGUUAGUUGCAAAAACGUAAAGUGCAGAAAUGUAAAGGAAAUAUAAAUGAAAACAAGUUAUAUCAAGCAUAAACCAAACUGAUCCGUAACAAGUUUUGUAGUCAAACACGAGCUAGUAAAGGUGAUCAGUUUAAGGUGAAGAGGAACUCGGAGAUUCGAAUAGGAUAUAGAGAGAAUGAUCUUUUGUAUUUCAAUGAAAGUUCAGGAAGAUCUUGAAUAAGUGGUGUAAUUACAUGAAGAAUGGAGUCUCUAUUUAUAGAUUCCCAAAAAAGUUACAUCUAAAAUAAACAAUUAAUACUCUACUGACUUAAGCGACCAUGCAAUGUUUACUGGGUAAAGCUAAGCUAACAUGUUAAGUCAGUUGACGUAACCAAAUGUCUUCAUGAUUUUUCACUGCGGUAGUGGUUGGGGAUCACUACGGUUCUCAAAACAACUUCUUCUUCAGCUUUAACUUCGAUAGAUAAAUUUCAGUUAUGGUAGCCACUCUAACUGUGGUAGACAUAAAACAAGACUGUGGAUCCUUAAAGUUAAAGAAGGCCACUUUUUGUAUCAACAAGCACAUGUGUAUGUUUAAACCCUUUCAGAACUUACAGCUAUAAGUCUUGAACGUUCAAAUUUUUCCUUGCCAUUUCUCACAAUUCGAACUAUGAAAUGGGAUGUCGUAAUCAUAUUGCAAAUUUGAGAGUGCAAUUAACACAACUACUAACCAUAAUGAUAUUUAUCAAAUCUUUAAAAUCUACUAGCUAAAGUAUUUCCUCAUAAUCAUUUUCAUGAAUUAGAGCGAAAGCUAUUGCCACCUAGAUUUUAUGGUGUAAUUUUUCCCAUCCAUGUUGUGACAACCUGCAAUAUCUUCUUGUAAGCCAAUCAAAUCAAUCUAAAGUUCAGACUUGCUUUUGUUAUCUUUUUACUAAGUUAAGGGUCAUAUUAUGAGUUCUAAGCCUAGUACACUUAAAGGAUUGUAUGUUAGGAAGUGUUAGCAAGAGAUCAAUGGACUGCAUUCGAGCUGGAAACACCCUCAAAUGUGGUUCACGGCCGCAAACUAGGUUCACGGUCGUGAACCUACCCUUGGCCGUGAACUACCCUCAUGCCAUAUAUAUGAGUUUUGGCUCAUUUUCUCUUCACUUCUCAUCUUUCAACUGUGAAAUCUUCCUUUCUCUCUCAAGUACCAUCCACAAAAAGGUCUCCUUUCAUCUCAAAAUUGUAAGUAACUCAUCCCUUUAUUAUGGUUAUUGAGAAGUUCCUUGCUUUCCAUAAUUGAUUCAUCAUCUUUUAUUCAAGGAUCUUCAAGUGUUCUUGGCUGUGAACCCUUCAUAGGGUUGUGAACCUUCAUCGUUGGCCGUGAAACCUUCAUAGAUUCAAGCUAGGGCUGUGAACACUUCAAGUGUUCUUGGACCGUGAUCCCAUGUGUUAAUAUAUGAGUUAAUAUAUGCUAAAUAUGAUCUAUUUGUGCUCAGGACUUCACUUGGCAUACCAAGCAUCCUAUAUCGAUAUUUCAUUCGAAUCACUCACUACAGGUGAGUUCAUACCCCUACAAAUACACUUUUAAAUGCUUUUAGGGGGAGAAUACAAGUAGAACACAAGGCAAUUGUGUUAACCCAUUUAUAUGUGAAAACAACACCCGAAAGGAUUUCUUAUACUCAAAAAGUUGUUAAAACUCCUUUAAACUAUUUUAAACUUCUUUUAUAUCAAAUCAUAUUCAGCUAUCUAUUUGCAUAUAAAUAUGCUUUAAUGGACUUAGGACUAUUGCUAAAUACCUUGACUCCUGUUCCUUGUUUGGUUGUGGGCUUAGGGUAGGAUCACUUGUUCGACUAUCGGUUAAAUCAUAGUUAUACUCAUCAAAUACAUAUAUGAAUAUUAAACCCAUUUUUAAGGAUCAUACUUAACUUAGUUGCUUAUGAUGAGUAAUUGAGUCUUUUCUACAAAUCAGUAACAUUUCAAACAAACAUACUAGUAAACUAUAAUAGGUAUAGUUUAGAGGUUCGUUGCAUACUACUUUUAGAAUAGAGAAACAUACAAGAGUCAGUACAUUCAUAUCAUUACUAUACAUUACGAUACAUACCAUAACAAGAAUAGAAUAACUAAAAUGGGAGCCACUAUUUCAUGGCAUAACAACAUACUUGUUGUGUCAUGUUUUUAACCAGAGUCUCCUGGAGGGAGAGCGUGAGUUUGUGUAUAGAUCUAUACGGGAUUGACCAUCCUAUAUCUUGCUGCUAGCUAUAGUGGGACAUGCAGGUCUACAGGUGACAAAUGUCAUACCAUUUUUGAGAUCUGUAGAACGUCGUAUUUUAUACUAGUCAAUCAAGCAUGGUUAUAACUUAAUCACAUUUUUACCUUAAUUAACAGUUUGGUUUUAAGGGAGUUAGUGCUUCAGUAGAGUAUUUUUAUACAAACACUGUUCUACAUCUUCAUUUUCCGUUACAUUCAUACAGUGAUAUUCUCACAUAAGAAAUGCAUACUAUUUUUCGUGUAAAGAUAGUUUUACAAAUAUGGAAAACCCACAUUUAUACUAUUACAAGUACAAAUAUACACAUUACAUCAUUUUUCAAAGAGAAACAAACAUACAAAACAGUUGAGUCUUGGUAGAAGACUACUUUUCAUUUUAGUAGAAAAUAUAGGAUUUUUCUAGGAAGUAUAUAAACAUUUACAUCAAAACACUUACAAACAUUUUCAUGAAGCAGAUGCAAACUUUUGACACAAAAAUACUUAUGAAACUCGCCAGCUUAAAUGUUGAUCUACUCUUUCAUAAUAACUUGUAUUCUUAGGUCACCAGUAGAGAGCUACACUGGACCAGGUUUUGAGAAGACGGAGCAUGUUCAAGACUCGUCUUUUAUUUUGAUAUAUUAUUUUUGGUGUCUUACAACUAUACACAGAACACACAUGUAUAAACUAU
rnacentral:lncRNA from 1 species